AGAGUUUGAUCCUGGCUCAGGAUGAACGCUAGCGGUGCGCCUAACACAUGCAAGUCGAGCGGUAAUUAAAAAGUAGCUUGCUACUUUUUAAUUAUAGCGGCGAACGGGUGAGUAAUAUGUUGGUAUCUACGUUUUGGUCAGGGAUAGUAAAGAGAAAUUUUUAGUAAUACCGGAUAGUCUCGAGAGAGUAAAGAUUUAUUGCCAAGACAGGAACCUGCAUCCUAUCAGUUAGUUGGUGAGGUAGAAGCUCACCAAGACAAUGACGGGUAGCUGGUCUGAGAGGAUGAUCAGCCACAAUGGAACUGAGACACGGUCCAUACUCCUACGGGAGGCAGCAGUGAGGAAUCUUCCACAAUGGACGCAAGUCUGAUGGAGCGACACCGCGUGAAGGAUGAAGGCCUAACGGUUGUAAACUUCUUUUCUGAAGGAGCAUAAUGAGAGUACUUCAGGAAUAAGGGACGGCUAAAUACGUGCCAGCAGCCGCGGUAAUACGUAUGUCCCAAGCGUUAUCCGGAAUCACCGGGUGUAAAGGGUUCGUAGGUUGUAAAAUAAGUUGGAUAUAAAAGACCGAGGCUCAACCUCGAGUUUGUAUUCAAAACUGUUUUGCUAGAAUUAGGGAGAGGUAAGCGGAAUUCUAAGUGUAGGGGUGCAAUCCGUAGAUACUUAGAAGAACACCAAAAGCGAAGGCAGCUUACUGGAACUAUAUUGACACUGAGGAACGAAAGCGUGGGGAUCAAAAAGGAUUAGAUACCCUGGUAG
rnacentral:rRNA from 1 species